AACGAACGCUGGCGGCAGGCCUAACACAUGCAAGUCGAACGCCCCGCAAGGGGAGUGGCAGACGGGUGAGUAACGCGUGGGAACCUACCUCGAGGUACGGAACAACCAAGGGAAACUUUGGCUAAUACCGUAUGAGCCAUUAGGGGGAAAGAUUUAUCGCCUUGAGAUGGGCCCGCGUAGGAUUAGCUAGUUGGUGAGGUACUGGCUCACCAAGGCGACGAUCCUUAGCUGGUCUGAGAGGAUGACCAGCCACACUGGGACUGAGACACGGCCCAGACUCCUACGGGAGGCAGCAGUGGGGAAUAUUGGACAAUGGGCGGAAGCCUGAUCCAGCCAUGCCGCGUGUGUGAUGAAGGCCUUAGGGUUGUAAAGCACUUUCGCCGAUGAAGAUAAUGACGGUAGUCGGAGAAGAAGCCCCGGCUAACUUCGUGCCAGCCGCCGCGGUAAGAC
rnacentral:rRNA from 1 species